AUUGAACGCUGGCGGCAUGCCUUACACAUGCAAGUCGAACGGUAACAGGUCUUCGGAUGCUGACGAGUGGCGAACGGGUGAGUAAUACAUCGGAACGUGCCCGAGAGUGGGGGAUAACGAGGCGAAAGCUUUGCUAAUACCGCAUACGAUCUCAGGAUGAAAGCAGGGGACCGCAAGGCCUUGCGCUCACGGAGCGGCCGAUGGCAGAUUAGGUAGUUGGUGGGAUAAAAGCUUACCAAGCCGACGAUCUGUAGCUGGUCUGAGAGGACGACCAGCCACACUGGGACUGAGACACGGCCCAGACUCCUACGGGAGGCAGCAGUGGGGAAUUUUGGACAAUGGGCGCAAGCCUGAUCCAGCCAUGCCGCGUGCAGGAUGAAGGCCUUCGGGUUGUAAACUGCUUUUGUACGGAACGAAAAGACUCUGGCUAAUACCUGGGGUCCAUGACGGUACCGUAAGAAUAAGCACCGGCUAACUACGUGCCAGCCGCCGCGGUAA
rnacentral:rRNA from 1 species